rnacentral:rRNA from 1 species
AUUGAACGCUGGCGGCAGGCCUAACGCAUGCAAGUCGAGCGGAUGAAGGGAGCUUGCUCCUGGAUUCAGCGGCGGACGGGUGAGUAAUGCCUAGGAAUCUGCCUGGUAGUGGGGGAUAACGUCCGGAAACGGGCGCUAAUACCGCAUACGUCCUGAGGGAGAAAGUGGGGGAUCUUCGGACCUCACGCUAUCAGAUGAGCCUAGGUCGGAUUAGCUAGUUGGUGGGGUAAAGGCCUACCAAGGCGACGAUCCGUAACUGGUCUGAGAGGAUGAUCAGUCACACUGGAACUGAGACACGGUCCAGACUCCUACGGGAGGCAGCAGUGGGGAAUAUUGGACAAUGGGCGAAAGCCUGAUCCAGCCAUGCCGCGUGUGCGAAGAAGGUCUUCGGAUUGUAAAGCACUUUAAGUUGGGAGGAAGGGCAGUAAGUUAAUACCUUGCUGUUUUGACGUUACCAACAGAAUAAGCACCGGCUAACUUCGUG